rnacentral:rRNA from 1 species
CAUUAUGCCUGGAAUGGUUUAUGUUCCAAAUGAUUUAUCGCCGUAGGAUGGGACUGCGGCCUAUCAGUUUGUUGGUGAGGUAAUGGCCCACCAAGACUAUUACAGGUACGGGCUCUGAGAGGAGUAGCCCGGAGAUGGGUACUGAGACACGGACCCAGGCUCUAUGGGGCGCAGCAGGCGAGAAAACUUUGCAAUGCGCGAAAGCACGACAAGGUUAAUCCGAGUGGUUUCUGCUAAAGAAACCUUUUGUCAGUCCUAGAAACACUGAUGAAUAAGGGGUGGGCAAGUUCUGGUGU